AGAACAAUUACAAUGCGUCUGCCAAAUUGACUUCUAGGGCAUACUUCUAACAAGGGGCUCAAUCAUCAACCUGGCUCAUAAUGGUUUAGAGUCUUUAGACUUUAGACAUACUAUUACAAAUACCAACCGAGCUGAUUCAGGUUUUCAAGUGCUAGGUUCCCAAAUCUGUCCAAAGACAUCACAACUCAGCGUUUCCCAUCUAGAUGGUCAGGAUGGAGACAACGUAUAUCAGGUUUUGAAACCAUGCCUUUUCCCAUGCAUUUAAAUUCAGUUUUAUAUGACAAACUAAAAUAAGCGUAUAUUUCAGUCCUCAUUGUAAAGUUUAUCCCAAGGUGCACUGAAUCACUAAGGUCUCUUGAAGCUAUGGACAAGGUGCAAAGCAAGAUGUGCGCUCUCAUAAAGCACAGAAAAUAUAUCAAAUGAAUGAAUUUAUGAUGUUCAAGAUAUAUGAUAAUUAAAAUGAUACAAAAUAAACAUGCACAGACACACACAGUACACAGAAAUGCAGCAUAUGGUUGUCACAAUAGAA
rnacentral:lncRNA from 1 species